UUAGCACACAUGAAGCUCUGGGUUCAAUCCCUAGGAUUCUACCCCCUCCACCCCCGUAAAAAAUUAAAAGUUGAUAAAAGAGAACAAGGUUUUGCUUCCUUUUAUGUAGGAAUUUUUUAAGAGCUGGAAAUUUUGCCUAGUUCUAUUUCACUCUCAAUUUUAAUAGUUUUUAAAUUUUUAUUAGAGAUUUUCAAAAGUAAAAUUUAUUUUCUUUUAUCUCUAGGUGUUCUCAUCUUUUCUAUGAGUUUGACCAUCUGUAAUGAUUAUUGGCAGCUAGUAGUUUAAUCAUUAAGUAGUAGAGAAGAAACAUUAAUUAGGAGAAAAUGUCAAAUCUAAAAAUGAAAGAGGCAGCCCUUAUCUAUCUUGACAGAAGUGGAGGUCUCCAAAAGUUUAUAGAUGAUUGCAAGUACUACAAUGAUUCAAAACAAAGUUAUGCUGUCUAUCGAUUCAAUAUUUUAAUAAAUCCUUCUGAUGUUGUUGAAUUAUAUGCUGAACUUGGAAAUCACAUUUUACAUCAUCCUUUAAAAGCUGCUCAAGUUUUUCAAUCAGUAAGUUAAAGAAAGAAAUACUUUUAUGCCAAUACUUUUAUUUUUCCUAACUUGUGUGUUUGUUUGAAAUUACAGGUCUGUUUUAUUGCUGUUAAGACUCUCUCAUUAAUUGGACAAUUACAGACUGAAACUCAAAUUAACAUAGUGCUGAAAUUAACACACUUACC